rnacentral:lncRNA from 1 species
UUGAACUGCCGUGGUUGGAAAGAUUUUAUUUUUUUUUCCUCUGGUAAAAUUAAUUGCUGUGUAAGUCAAGAAUAUACUUAACAAAUUUGCUUUCAUUUUGACCUCUUGUUUUUUUGUCUAUCCCUGCCAUGGGUUUGACCCCCGUUGUGCUCAGCUGUGCCUGGAGAACCUCUGCAUCAGAAGUACCGUGAGCAGGGAGAAGGAUGGAAGAGUCUGCUGCGACGCGCCUGGGGAUGGGAUUUCUCCAGUCAGUGCCCCACAGCAGGUGGCAAGCACUUGGUUGCUCUCCUCCCACUUUAUCACAGCUUUAGAGAAUGACCCAGAACAGGAAGGAAGGCUGCCCUCCAGAGCAUGCAUGAGAGACAUCUCCAGACCCCAGGAUAACAUGAGCCUUAAGCUUUGUGACCAGCAAAUCCCUUGCAGAAAAGAACUUUGCUCAGUCUGCAUUCAACUACAUGAAAUUGGUAUAACAUAACGGUUCUGCCAGUUUAUUCAUACAUCUGAUACUUGCUAAUAUGCUUUGAUUUAUUGGCUUUCUCAUAUCACAGUAAAAUUGUAUUUUCACAUACUUUAUUUCCACCCCAAUCCCCAGCAUGCACAGUUCCUGCUGGGCCUUCACAAAUUAAUCUUUGAUAUUUUUUCCUUCGUCUUGCACAAGCAGGGAGCACCAUCCAUCUCGGUUUGAAAUUGGCUGUGCUCCAGCUUUCUGCUUUUCCUUGUUCUCUUUUCUGCUCCCCAUCCCACACCAAUUUCCAGUGGCCACUUCUGUGUGUGUGCUCAUCCCAGCCAUUGCCCUGCAUCUCUAAUGCACAGCGUGGCAGGGGGAUGUGGGGACAGACCUUUGAGCAGCUGUGCUGCAGUUGUUUAAUACAGCACGCGCAGACACACAGGACUACCUGUGUGUGUGGUUUGUUUUUGUUUUUUUUUUGGUGGUGUGUUUUGUAGUUGUUGUUUUUUGAUAUCUAUAUAUUUGUUCUCUCUGCCUCUGGCAUGAAAAACUCAGAGAAACAAAGAAAAGAGCUGCCACCUUUUCAUUCAUCAGCAAAACAAUUUAAUCGACUGAAGCCAAUCUCAGAGAUGAUCUCAAACUGGGGAAACCAGUCAUGCUGUCUGAGACUCCAUACCCAGCUGGGCUCCCAGGUACGAUAGGCAUUGUGCAAGCUUACCGGUUUGUGGUUACAAGGCCUGUGUGUUAGUCUUCAGUCCCUGUGCAGAUAGCAACAUUGCUUGUGCUGCCUUGUCUCUUCUGGAGGCACCCCAAAGUUGCUGUUUGUUUAAAUUUGUGUGUCCAGGGCAUGGAGAGAGAGAGGUG